GUGCUCGCUUCGGCAGCACAUAUACUAAAAUUGGAAUGAUACAGAGAACAUAAUAGUGAUGCCAGAGAUGAGCCAAGAACACUCACACUAUUUU
rnacentral:snRNA from 11 species